GUGAGGGAAAGGUGAAAAGUACCCCGGAAGGGGAGUGAAAGAGAACUUGAAACCGUGUGCUUACAAGUAGUCAGAGCCCGUUAAUGGGUGAUGGCGUGCCUUUUGUAGAAUGAACCGGCGAGUUACGUUAUCUAGCGAGGUUAAGUCAGAAAAGACGGAGCCGGAGCGAAAGCGAGUCUUAAUAGGGCGAAAAGUUAGGUGACGUAGACCCGAAACCAAGUGACCUACCCAUGACCUGG
rnacentral:rRNA from 1 species